UCUCAGUUCGGAUUGUAGGCUGCAACUCGCCUACAUGAAGUCGGAAUCGCUAGUAAUCGCGGAUCAGCAUGCCGCGGUGAAUACGUUCCCGGGCCUUGUACACACCGCCCGUCACACCAUGAGAGUUUGUAACACCCAAAGCCGGUGGGGUAACCUUUUGGAGCCAGCCGUCUAAGGUGGGACAGAUGAUUGGGGUGAAGUCGUAACAAGGUAGC
rnacentral:rRNA from 1 species